rnacentral:rRNA from 1 species
UACCUGCAGCUCGAGUGGUAACCGCUAUUAUUGGGCCUAAAGCGUCCGUAGCCGGUUUGGUAAAUAUCUGGGUAAAUCGUGAGGCUUAACUUCACGAAUUUCGGAUAGACUGCCAGACUUGGGAUCGGGGGAGGUCAGAGGUACUCCAGGGGUAGCGGUGAAAUGCUGUAAUCCUUGGAGGACCACCGGUAGCGAAGGCGUCUGACUAGAACGAGUCCGACGGUGAGGGACGAAGCCCUGGGGCGCAAACCGGAUUAGAUACCCGGGUAGUCCAGGGUGUAAACGAUGUGGGCUUUGUAUUGGAGGUCCCACGUGGGCGUCCAGUGCAGAAGAGAAGUUGUUAAGCCCACCGCCUGGGAAGUACGGUCGCAAGGCUGAAACUUAAAGGAAUUGGCGGGGGAGCACAGCAACGGGAGGAGCGUGCGGUUU